AACGCGAAGAACCUUACCUGGUCUUGACAUCCUGGGAACCCCGUAGAGAUAUGGGGGUGCCGCAAGGAGCCCAGAGACAGGUGCUGCAUGGCUGUCGUCAGCUCGUGUCGUGAGAUGUUGGGUUAAGUCCCGCAACGAGCGCAACCCUUGUCCUAUGUUGCCAGCGGGUAAUGCCGGGGACUCGUAGGAGACUGCCGGGGUCAACUCGGAGGAAGGUGGGGACGACGUCAAGUCAUCAUGCCCCUUACGUCCAGGGCUGCACACAUGCUACAAUGGCCGGUACAGAGGGCUGCUAUCCCGCGAGGGUGAGCGAAUCCCAAGAAGCCGGUCUCAGUUCGGAUUGCAGUCUGCAACUCGACUGCAUGAAGUUGGAGUCGCUAGUAAUCCCAGAUCAGCAACGCUGGGGUGAAUACGUUCCCGGGUCUUGUACACACCG
rnacentral:rRNA from 1 species